GGCAGNUUACUAAGCAACAACUGACGCUGAUGGACGAAAGCGUGGGGAGCGAACAGGAUUAGAUNCCNNGGUANNCCACGCCGUAAACGAUGCUAACUCGUUUUUGGAAUGUAAGUUUCAGAGACUAAGCGAAAGUGAUAAGUUAGCCACCUGGGGGGUACGAACGCAAGUUUGAAACUCAAAGGAAUUGACGGGGGCCCGCACAAGCGGUGGAUUAUGUGGUUUAAUUCGAUGAUACGCGAGGAACCUUACCAAGGCUUAAAUGGGAAAUGACAGGUUUAGAAAUAGACUUUUCUUCGGACAUUUUUCAAGGUGCUGCAUGGUUGUCGUCAGCUCGUGCCGUGAGGUGUUAGGUUAAGUCCUGCAACGAGCGCAACCCCUGUCACUAGUUGCCAUCAUUAAGUUGGGGACUCUAGUGAGACUGCCUACGCAAGUAGAGGGGAAGGUGGGGAUGACGUCAAAUCAUCACGGCCCUUACGCCUUGGGCCACACACGUAAUACAAUGGCCGGUACAGAGGGCAGCUACACUGCGAAGUGAUGCAAAUCUCGAAAGCCGGUCUCAGUUCGGAUUGGAGUCUGCAACUCGACUCUAUGAAGCUGGAAUCGCUAGUAAUCGCGCAUCAGCCAUGGCGCGGUGAAUACGUUCCCGGGCCUUGUACACACCGCCCGUCAAGCCAUGGAAGUCUGGGGUACCUGAAGUCGGUGACCGUAACAGGAGCUGCCUAGGGUAAAACAGGUAACUAGGGCU
rnacentral:rRNA from 1 species